rnacentral:rRNA from 1 species
UACGUAGGGUGCAAGCGUUGUCCGGAAUUAUUGGGCGUAAAGAGCGCGCAGGCGGUCGAUCAAGUCGAGUGUGAAAGCCCCCGGCUCAACUGGGGAGGGUCAUUCGAAACUGGUCGACUCGAAGGCAGGAGAGGGUAGUGGAAUUCCCGGUGUAGUGGUGAAAUUCGUAGAUAUGGGGAGGAACACCGGUGGCGAAGGCGGCCAUCUGGACGGUAACUGACGCUGAGACGCGAAAGCGUGGGGAGCAAACAGG